rnacentral:rRNA from 1 species
UACGUAGGGUGCAAGCGUUGUCCGGAAUUAUUGGGCGUAAAGAGCUCGUAGGCGGUUUGUUGCGUCGGCUGUGAAAUCCCGAGGCUCAACCUCGGGUCUGCAGUCGAUACGAGCAAACUAGAGUGUUGCAGGGGAGACUGGAAUUCCUGGUGUAGCGGUGAAAUGCGCAGAUAUCAGGAGGAACACCGGUGGCGAAGGCGGCUCUCUGGGCCUUACCUGACGCUGGAGGAGCGAAAGCGUGGGUAGCGAACAGG